rnacentral:rRNA from 1 species
CCUGGACACGUUUUUGUUCAUCAUCCCUUCCUCAAGAAGCAAACCCCAUAUCCCUCCUCUUCUGUCUCUCUCAUCAUCCCUUCCUCAUGAAGCAAACCCCAUAUCCUUCCUCUCGUCGCCUCCGCCCCUUCUCCUCCCUGUUCCUCUCUCCUAGCCGAGCUCCAGCCUUGCUCGUCAUCCCUUCCUCUUGAGAAAGAGCACGGGCCCGUCGUUGUGCCUCAAUAGCCACAAGGACAUCGGGUGGAGGGGAUCCAGUGCGGACGGCGCACGUCUCGGCCCUGUAGCAGGAGCGGGAGGUGUCGGCGGCCCAUCGUUGCGCCUCAGUCGCCACAAGGACAUCGGGUGGAGGGGAUCCGGUGCGGACGGCGCACGUCUCGGCCCCGUGGCAGGAGCGGGGGUGUCGGCGGCGGAGAUGGUCGAUGGGGAGCCUCUUCUUCCCGCGAUCUGGUUCUCCCCAUUCAUGGCCAUUGGCAGGAGGGUCCCCUCGGAUUUAUUCCAUCCUCGGAGGAGGCAACCGCCCUAGGAGGGGCGGUGCACGGGCACGGCUAGCAUGGUGGUCGUGAUGUUGUUCCGCGACUGGUUCGCCUUCGGGUCGGCGCCACAGAUGAGGCCUGCUGUUGCGACCUUGCCCUCGUUCCCGCGGUGACGGACUACCCCCCAAGAUGAAUGGCCCCUUCAAUUCGAAGCCACCGACUAUGCCAUGCGCGAGCUCGUCAUCUAUGUCGACCUCCACUCUGGCUCACGUGGCGCCGACGCCAAGCGGGAGAAGGUGAGUUUGAAUCUGUCCGGUCUUCCUAUUUUGACCCCCCGUCCCUGCCUCUCUCUCUCUCUCU